rnacentral:rRNA from 1 species
UACGGGGGGAGCAAGCGUUGUUCGGAUUUACUGGGCGUAAAGGGCGCGUAGGCGGCCACCGCAAGUCGGUUGUGAAAUCUCUGGGCUUAACCCAGAAAGGUCAACCGAUACUGCGGGGCUAGAGUGCAGAAGGGGCAACUGGAAUUCUCGGUGUAGCGGUGAAAUGCGUAGAUAUCGAGAGGAACACCUGCGGCGAAGGCGGGUUGCUGGGCUGAUACUGACGCUGACAGCGCGAAAGCUAGGGGAGCGAACGGG